rfam:Felis catus isolate Cinnamon breed Abyssinian chromosome B1, whole genome shotgun sequence.
GCCUGGGUGGCUCAGUCGGUUGAGCAUCUGACUUCAGCUCAGGUCAUGAUCUCCCAGUUCUUGGGUUCGAGUCCUGCAUCAGGCU